GGACCCGCACAAGUAGUGGAGCAUGUGGUUUAAUUCGAAGAUACGCGCAGAACCUUACCAACACUUGACAUGUUCGUCGCGACUUUAAGAGAUUAAAGUUUUCGGUUCGGCCGGACGAAACACAGGUGCUGCAUGGCUGUCGUCAGCUCGUGUCGUGAGAUGUUGGUUAAGUCCCGCAACGAGCGCAACCCUCACUUUUAGUUGCCAUCAUUAAGUUGGGCACUCUGAAAGAACUGCCAGUGAUAAGCUGGAGGAAGGCGGGGACGACGUCAAGUCAUCACGGCCCUUACGUCCUGGGCCACACACGUGCUACAAUGGUUGGUACAGAGGGCAGCUACCGGGUGACCGGAUGCG
rnacentral:rRNA from 1 species